UAAGAGGCAGGGCAUGGGUUCAAGAGGUGGCUUAGCUUAGUGCUGCAGUUUUCCAGAUCUGAUCUGUGGACCCUUCCAGGGGCCUGAGACCCUUCCAAAGACCAAGUGGACAAAACUAUUUCCAUCACACUGUGACAUUAUUUACCUUUUGGAUUGCACUGACACUCUCAGAGAUGACUGAAAAGCAAUAGUGAACAAAUCGUUAGUGCCUUGGAAAAAUACUUAUUUUUUUUUUUAUUAGCGAUGUCACUCAUAUGAGUUGGAAUAGCUUUUCCUUAGAUAUAUGAGGAUGUCUUAUAAAUGCACUCAUACGAAUAAACAAAGUUUCAGAAGCAGCUUGGGCAGGCCUACAAAUAUAUAUUGGUGACGAUAAAGGCCUUUGAGACCAUAACUGAUAAAUCAUUGUUGCCAAUAAUACAAUUCAAGUUCUCAAGCCAAAGUUAAUAAUUUCCAACACAUGUAUCUUAUCCUCUUCCUCCUUCCUGUCCUUCCUCCUCCCCUCCUCCUCCUCCUCCUCCUCCUUUUUCUUCUUGUUUUAUGCUGGGGAUGAAACCCAGGGCUCUAGGCAUGCUAGACAAAGUGCCCUACCACUGAUCCCCAGAGUAGUGGUGACAUUAACAGACUGCAUUUAAAAAUAUAUUUCUUGGUGAAGGUAGAUCUGCAAAACUCAGUGAACCAAUAUCUUCCAAAUGUCCA
rnacentral:lncRNA from 1 species